rnacentral:rRNA from 1 species
AUGUCAGGGAAUAAUAUUUUGUCCCGUCUAGAUGCGAUAAGCCCUACAGAAGGCCGGGAUGUGUUUCGCUGGAACCUUACUACAUUAGGGUCUUUCACCGUAGACUCUAUGUAUUGUGCGCUCACGCAUUCUGAGGUACCGGUGCGUAAUAAUAAGAAAAUUUGGAGGUCGAAGAUACCACUAAAAAUUAAAGUCUUCAUGUGGUAUCUUCAUAGGGGAGUUGUGCUAACCAAAGACAACCUUGCACGGCGCAAUUGACAAGGGAGUAAGAAGUGUUGUUUUUGUACUCAUGAUGAAACAAUCAGACACCUCUUUUUCCAAUGCAUCUUUGUAAAUUCUAUGUGGUCAAUCAUCCAAAUAGCGUCAAGUUUAUAUCCGCCCACAAGUGUUGCCAAUAUUUUUGGUCAUUGGUUGGAUGGUAUUUCAAAUAUGUUCAAAACGCUAUUGAGGGUGGGAGCGUAUGCCUUACUAUGGUCGCUUUGGCUAUGUAGAAAUGAUUUUGUUUUUUAG